rnacentral:lncRNA from 1 species
CUAUAAGUGUACUCGCUUGCCAUCCUAGAAGAUGGUUUAAAAGUUCCAACUCUUAUACAUUCGUCCGUAGAUGGGAGGAUGAAACGACAAAGCCACAAAGAGAGGUAAGCUACUAUCUCCAAUUCCUCUUCUUUUUUCAUAGACGGAGAUACUAGCAGAUUGCUCCAAUGACGUCGAUCCCUACGAGUAAUGUCUCUCGGUUUGUCUGCCACCACGAGCUUUCGUAUUUCCUUCAAUGCUCUUUGAUGACGCUUCUUGAAUUGAUUUAAAUUCAUAACAUUCUUAUAAUUUUGUGAUGUCGAGGAUUAUGGACACAACCAUUCUCGUGAAACCAAAAACUAAUCCAAUUUUCGUGAGUAACCCGAUCAUAUUCAUUUGCAUGGACGAUCAAUGUGAAAACAUUAAAGAGAUACAGACAAGACUUGGGAAGAUGAUCCAUCAACUUUGAAAGGCAUGAGACUACUUCCUCAUAGUAACGACCCAUAAUCGAAAGCGCACUUAUCUCGUGAAUGUCCGAAAGAGAGAUGCGACUUUCACCAUUGGCAGUCACAAAGGUGUUGGUUUUUGGUCACCAAACUUCACAAAGAGAUCUAUAAAUAGAGUUUGGGCGAUGAUAAUUUUUUGUAGCAGAAUUAACUGUAAAAGCUAACUCGCUAAGAUUCCUUUUGAGUAGAAGUUUUUGGACACAUAAAGACCGUUCUCAAAAAUUUGGGAGAAAAGAAAUCUCUCAUCCACUGGUCAGUGCGCUUCCCUAUUGUAUUUCUCUAUUAUCAAUCCUCUCACAAAUUACAGCUUUUGGGAUGCACUCCAUGCUUUGAAAAUGAUGAGGCAGAAGACACAAAAAAGAAAUAUGACUGCUAGAGCGGCUGAACUUGCCAGUAUUCAAACUCUCGCGACAUUUACUAAUGAUGGGUAUAUGCAACUUCGACAAUGGCUUUAGAAGAUCAGGAGAAGAAUCUGUCAUUAGUUUAUGGACACUAAAUUUAAGUUCAUCUAGUACGUACGUCAGUCUAGGCAUGGUACUUCAUAUCAGUAUCUUUGAAACUUUAUCUAACUUUUGUCUUAAUUUUUAAGCUCAAUAAUUUCGUGUAUGUUAGAGUAUGCUUUAUCAUUAGAACUUGUUCUAUCCAUGCUUGCCAAAAAAAAAAAAAAAAAGUCAGCUAAAAAAAGGGGGAAGUAAAUCUCUUGAAUUUGUUUAUCGCCUAAAAUCACGAGUCUCCCAAAUAUGUAAGUAGUCUCUACAAAAAGUGCUUUGGACAGUCGAAGGAACCAGCCCUUGAUCUUCAACACAAAGUGUUUUUGACAGUUGAAGAAGCAGGUCCUUGUUCCUCAAGAGAAAGUGUCUUAGACAGUUGAAGGAACAAGUCAUUGGUUCUUAACACAAAGUGUCUUGAACGAUAGAAUGAGCCAGUCCUUGGUCCUUAACACAAAGUGCCUUGGACGGUUGAAGGAACAGAUCUUUGGUUCUCAACACAAAGUGCCUUGGACGGUCAAAGAAGCUAGUCCUUGGUCCCAAACAUGAAGUGCCUUAGACGAUCGAGGGAGCAGAUCCUUGGUUCCAAACAUGAAGUGCCUUGGACCGUAGAAAGAGCAGGUCCUUGGUUUUCAAUGCAAAGUACCAUGGACAGUUGAAGGAGUUAGUUCUUGAUCCUCAAUACAAAGUGUCUUAGACUGUUGAAUGAACAGGUCCUUGGUCCUUUAACAUAAAGUGUCUUAAACAGUUAAAGGAACAUGUCAUUGGUAGUUAACACAAAAUGCCUUGGACGGUUGAAGGAGCUGGUCCUUAGUCCCCAACAAAAAGGCAUCGAAUGGCGAAAAGUGACUAUCCUUGGUCUUCAUUGUGUAUGAA